UACGUAGGGGGCAAGCGUUGUCCGGAAUUAUUGGGCGUAAAGCGCGCGCAGGCGGUUCAUUAAGUCUGGGGUUUAAUCGCAGGGCUCAACCCUGUGACGCCUUGGAAACUGGGGAACUGGAGUGUAGGAGAGGAAAGUGGAAUUCCACGUGUAGCGGUGAAAUGCGUAGAGAUGUGGAGGAACACCAGUGGCGAAGGCGACUUUCUGGCCUAUAACUGACGCUGAGGCGCGAAAGCGUGGGGAGCAAACA
rnacentral:rRNA from 1 species